UACGAAGGGGGCUAGCGUUGUUCGGAAUCACUGGGCGUAAAGCGCACGUAGGCGGACUUGUAAGUCAGGUGUGAAAUCCCGGGGCUCAACCUCGGAACUGCAUUUGAAACUGGAAGUCUUGAGACCAGGAGAGGUUAGCGGAAUACCGAGUGUAGAGGUGAAAUUCGUAGAUAUUCGGUGGAACACCAGUGGCGAAGGCGGCUAACUGGACUGGUACUGACGCUGAGGUGCGAAAGUGUGGGGAGCAAACAGG
rnacentral:rRNA from 1 species